GACGAACGCUGGCGGCGUGCUUAAUACAUGCAAGUCGAACGGUGAAGCGAGUGCUUGCACUCGUGGAUCAGUGGCGAACGGGUGAGUAACACGUGAGUAACCUGCCCAUCACUCUGGGAUAAGCACUGGAAACGGUGUCUAAUACUGGAUACGACCAACCCUUGCAUGGGGUGUUGGUGGAAAGAUUUAUCGGUGAUGGAUGGACUCGCGGCCUAUCAGCUUGUUGGCGGGGUAAUGGCCCACCAAGGCGACGACGGGUAGCCGGCCUGAGAGGGUGACCGGCCACACUGGGACUGAGACACGGCCCAGACUCCUACGGGAGGCAGCAGUGGGGAAUAUUGCACAAUGGGCGAAAGCCUGAUGCAGCGACGCCGCGUGAGGGAUGACGGCCUUCGGGUUGUAAACCUCUUUCAGCAGGGAAGAAGCGAAAGUGACGGUACCUGCAGAAGAAGCACCGGCUAACUACGUG
rnacentral:rRNA from 1 species